AACGAACGCUGGCGGCAGGCCUAACACAUGCAAGUCGAGCGAGGACUUCGGUCCUAGCGGCGGACGGGUGAGUAACGCGUGGGAACGUGCCCUUUGCUUCGGAAUAGCCCUGGGAAACUGGGAGUAAUACCGGAUGAGCCCUUUGGGGGAAAGAUUUAUCGGCGAAGGAUCGGCCCGCGUUGGAUUAGGUAGUUGGUGGGGUAAUGGCCUACCAAGCCGACGAUCCAUAGCUGGUUUGAGAGGAUGAUCAGCCACACUGGGACUGAGACACGGCCCAGACUCCUACGGGAGGCAGCAGUGGGGAAUCUUAGACAAUGGGGGGAACCCUGAUCUAGCCAGGCCGCGUGAGCGAUGAAGGCCUUAGGGUUGUAAAGCUCUUUCAGCUGGGAAGAUAAUGACGGUACCAGCAGAAGAAGCCCCGGCUAACUCCGUG
rnacentral:rRNA from 1 species